rnacentral:lncRNA from 1 species
UCCCAAAGCUCAACAUUGUCAUCAUUAUUGAGCUAAGACCUCAUUGAUAAUUAUGUGUAAGUUUUUAAUCUAGAUUUUAUUUUAGUCAUGUUGAUGAUGGGUAUAAAGGAGAUAAGGGAGAAUGUAAGAAGGAGAAAGUGGUGGUAUAAAGGAGGCUAUAGUUCACCCUUGAGAGGCUGAGAAGUUGAAGAAUGAAAAGAGGGAUGAAGACUAACAUGUUAGGAUUUUUGAGAAGGAAGAAGAGGACCUCCUCUACGUUAGCAAGUGGCUUAAUGGAGGGUCCAACUAGGUGAUUAAGAAUGGAUGAUCCUUCCUGUAAGUGAUACAAAGUAUGCAAGUGGCUAGUCAUUGAAUAAUCAUCCGGGCAACAUAAGGCGGAGGACCUUUUGUGGGUGUCUCUUCGAUCACUUCUCAUAUUGUCACAUAUGCAAAUCGAGAUAGGAGUAUAACAAAUUAUACCGUAUGAAUUUUGUAAAAUAAUUUAUUGAAGUAUUAACUUUUUAAAUAAAAAAAAAGCUCAGGGGCCCCCAAUCUCGCAAUGGAAUGAAUGCAACACACAAAAAUUGCGGUAGCAUACGUGGGAAAAGGCACCUAAGAGCAUGAGUUCGGUGGGCAGACAAGAUCAUGCAAUUUGGAAGAAGAAAAAAGGAAGGGGUCCAAAAUAAAAAUUUAAUAAUGUUCCCGUGGUUGUAGCAUGCUUGCAAAAGGAAGGAGGUGUAGUAGUAGGUAACUGUUGUGUUAGACUACCUGUCCAAGUCUAUCCCUCUUACCUCCACAAUUAUUUUGAAAGACUUGGUGCUCCUUUUUGUUAUCUUUUGUAAUUAAUGUUAUCCAAAUUAUUAAAUUAUUUUCCUUUUUUUCCUUUAUGGUUUCGAGGCCCCCCCCUCUAAUUUUGAAUUGACUCUUUUGGACUUGUCCAACUACUCCAAGUUAGUGAGUAUCUGUUAAUGAGUCGGAUCAGAUAAGAUGUCAAAAUUUUUUAUUUUUCCUUUGUUCAAAAUCAUUUUUGACUUAACUUCCUCUGAUGUCUCCC